rnacentral:rRNA from 1 species
CAGCAGCCGCGGUAAUACGUAGGUCCCAAGCGUUGUUCGGAAUCACUGGGCGUAAAGGGAGCGUAGGCGGCGUGGUAAGUCAGAUGUGAAAUCCCGGGGCUCAACCCCGGAACUGCAUCCGAUACUGCCAUGCUUGAGGGUUGGAGAGGUAGCUGGAAUUCUCGGCGUAGCAGUGAAAUGCGUGGAUAUCGAGAGGAACACUCGUGGCGAAGGCGAGCUACUGGACAACAUCUGACGCUGAGGCUCGAAGGCUAGGGUAGCGAAAGGGAUUAGAUACCCCCGUAGUCCCUGUCUCUUAUAA